ensembl:lncRNA
UAAACCUAGAGGUUUCUACAGGGGUGGGAGGUGAGGAGGUAAACCUAGAGGUUUCUGCAGGGGUGGAAGGUGAGGAGGUAAACCUAGAGGUUUCUACAGGGGUGGGAGGUAAACCUAGAGGUUUCUACAGGGGUGGGAGGUAAACCUAGAGGUUUCUACAGGGGUGGGAGGUAAACCUAGAGGUUUCUACAGGGGUGGAAGGUGAGGAGGUAAACCUAGAGGUUUCUGCAGGGGUGGAAGGUGAGGAGGUAAACCUAGAGGUUUCUACAGGGGUGGGAGGGGAUAAUAAACCUAGAGGUUUCUGCAGGGGUGGAAGGGGAGGUAAAGAAUAGUGUACACUACUGAUUCAUGUUUUAGUUUGAUUCUUAUUACUGUAAAGAAUAGUGUACACUACUGAUUCAUGUUUUAGUUUGAUUCUUAUUACUGUAAAGAAUAGUGUACACUACUGAUUCAUGUUUUAGUUUGAUUCUUAUUACUGUAAAGAUGAAAUGGGAUUUUUCUCACUCUUGCAUUUCUUCUGUAGAGCUUAAAAACAUUUCCUUUCUGUUUUUGCUAUUUUUUCUAUGACGAUCAGAUUGAGUGAUUGAUUAACCUCCCAACCCAAAGAUCCCGCCAAUUCACAUCGUGUCAGUGAUUUGAUUGGCUCCUCUCUCAAAGCUGCACGUUGUUGACGUCCCCUUCAGCCAGUCAGCAGGAAGGGGGGUUACCCCCUGUAACAGACAUCUCCUCCUCCUCUAGAUGACUCUGUAGUGAAGGAAGGGGGGGUUCCCCCUGUAACAGACAUCUCCUCCUCCUCUAGAUGACUCUGUAGUGAAGGAAGGGGGGGUUCCCCCCUGUAACAGACAUCUCCUCCUCUAGAUGACUCUGUAGUGAAGGAAAGGGGGUUCCCCCCUGUAACAGACAUCUCCUCCUCUAGAUGACUCUGUAGUGAAGGAAGGGGGGUUCCCCCCUGUAACAGACAUCUCCUCCUCCUCUAGAUGACUCUGUAGUGAUGGAAGGGGGGUUCCCCCCUGUAACAGACAUCUCCUCCUCCUCUAGAUGACUCUGUAGUGAAGGAAGGGGGGGUUACCCCCUGUAACAGACAUCUCCUCCUCUAGAUGACUCUGUAGUGAAGGAAGGGGGGGUGGUUGUUGUUUCGGCCACACAGCCAACAGAUAGUUCAAUAUUCAAUACUGUUCAAUCGUUGACCCCUGGCAUUUCUAUGAAUUCUAAAAGAACCUUAUCCGAUAGAUUUUAAUCGUCUUAUGAUCACUAUCAAGGGUUUAUUAAAUGAAGUUGAUGCUGCUGCUAUUUAUGACUUUCUUUUGCCUUAUCAUUUCACAGAGAGAGAGAGGGCCUUUCAGAGACUGUCAGAGAGUCUACACCAUAGAGAGAUACAUUCAAAGAUGUUCCAUUGAAUUCUAUGGGAAACACACAGUAAAGUAAUGACAUGCAUUCCCAACAUGUCAAUAGUGUUUCAGGGGAUUAGUUAAAGCAAGGCGAGGCACAGAAUCAAUCAUCUUGAUCAAAUAAUAGUUGAAUAUAACUUGAAUACGUAGUUAUUUGAUAUGUAAGGAGAUGUAUAAAUCAGUAAUGCUGUGAAGUCUGACUGCAAAUGUAGCUGAUCUCAAAGACCGUGAAGUCUGCACAUAGUAAACAAAUUCCAAAGACCGUAAACACAGUCUGCACAUAGUAAACUAAUUCCCUAAGACCGUAAACACAGUCUGCACAUAGUAAACAAAUUCCCUAAGAUCGUAAACACAGUCUGCACAUAGUAAACGAAUUCCCAUAUUCUACUACUCUUCAGCGCUCGGUUCUCCUAGCUUAGCACCAAUGGUUCCAUGUUCUGUUAGAACCCUCUGAACUGAUAGCUUAGCACUAAUGGUUCCAUGUUCUGUUAGAACCCUCUGAAUUGUCACAGAACCAUAAAACGUAGAUAUGGAAUGAUCUUAGGUCGUCUGUGACUUGAUGUUCCAUGGCCGGCUUGCUGUCCUAUCUGGGCAACGGGUGGGGCAGUCAUGACACGGUUGGGACUUGAUUGACCUUUCUGUUCUAUGAUCUUUUAAAAGCACGUAGGCAUUACUACCAUCGCUUCUCAAAUGGCACCCUGGCCAUAGUGCACAUUUGGGAUGCGGUCUACAUUUCUUUCAAAUGAAGGUUUGAAGGGGGUAACUACAUGAAGAACAUAUUAAUACAUAUAUUAUAUAUUAUGUAUAUAUUUUACUAAGACUGACCACAAAUAAACGGUCCUUCACUGAGACGGAGAGGGCUGAAAACAGAAUGGGUUCUAUAAUAGAACUCUAAUGGUUCUGAACCAUAGGGUGGGUUCUAUAAUAGAACUCUAAUGGUUCUGAAUCAUAGGGUGGGUUCUAUAAUAGAACGCUAAUGGUUCUGAACCAUAGGGUGGGUUCUGUAAGAGAACUCUAGUGGUUCUAGGGUUCUUCUGACUCUGUGCUCCUGUCUGGCUUCAUAGUAACUGCUUGUCAAAGCUUCUGUCAAGUCGUUUCCCAAAUGUUCCAUCUGUAUAGCAUGUCAAUAAAACACAUUUUGUCUGGA